rnacentral:rRNA from 1 species
GGCUCAGAACGAACGCUGGCGGCGUGCUUAACACAUGCAAGUCUCGGGGGCUCGCAAGAGCAACCGGCGAACGGGUGCGUAACACGUGAACAACCUGCCCUCGUGUGGGGGAUAGCCGGGCUAACGCCCGGGUAAUACCGCAUACGUUCCCCUGGGGGAGUCCUCGGGGGAGGAAAGCUCCGGCGCACGGGGAGGGGUUCGCGGCCUAUCAGCUCGUUGGCGGGGUAAUGUCCCACCAAGGCGAGGACAAGUAGCUGGUCUGAGAGGAUGGCCAGCCACAUUGGGACUGAGAGACGGCCCAGGGAACUACGGGAGGCAGC